GUGGGGAAUAUUGGACAAUGGGCGCAAGCCUGAUCCAGCCAUGCCGCGUGAGUGAUGAAGGCCCUAGGGUUGUAAAGCUCUUUCACCGGUGAAGAUAAUGACGGUAACCGGAGAAGAAGCCCCGGCUAACUUCGUGCCAGCAGCCGCGGUAAUACGAAGGGGGCUAGCGUUGUUCGGAAUUACUGGGCGUAAAGCGCACGUAGGCGGACAUUUAAGUCAGGGGUGAAAUCCCAGAGCUCAACUCUGGAACUGCCUUUGAUACUGGGUGUCUUGAGUAUGGAAGAGGUAAGUGGAAUUCCGAGUGUAGAGGUGAAAUUCGUAGAUAUUCGGAGGAACACCAGUGGCGAAGGCGGCUUACUGGUCCAUUACUGACGCUGAGGUGCGAAAGCGUGGGGAGCAAACAGGAUUAGAUACCCUAGUAGUCC
rnacentral:rRNA from 1 species